UGGGGCCUUAGCUCAGCUGGGAGAGCGCCUGCCUUUGGCACGCAGGAGUCAGCCGGUUCGAUCCCGCUAGGCUCCAU
rnacentral:tRNA from 1 species